rnacentral:ncRNA from 1 species
GUUAAGUUUUAUUCUUGCUUUUUCGUUCAGUUUUGGUUUGUUUUAUAUGUAAGUUUUUGCAUGUGUCUUUCUCUUUCUCUAGAUGGGGUUGGUAUUUGAUUUAGGUUGAUUAAUUCUCAUUAGUUAUUAUUGGAUGUUCAAGUAUACUUGUAUUUAGCAAUUCUUUCUAGCCUCGGUUAAAUUUUGUGCCAGCAGCCGCGGUUAUACCUUGGAGGCAUUUGAAUGUGUUUGGUGUUGUAGUUAUAUGUUUAUUUUGAUUGGUUUUAUUUUGAUUAAUUUAUUAGGUGAAAUUUUUAUUAUUAUUUUAUUCCUUUUGAUUGUUUGGAGGCUAUGAAAUUCCUUUUAUAGACUAGGAUUAGAUACCCUAUUAUUUUGGGAUGUUAAUUUUUGUGCCUGAGUAGUAUUAGUUAUGUUCUUGAAACUUAAAGAAUUUGGCGGUAUCUUAUUCCAUCCAGAGGAAUCUGCCCCGUUAUCGAUAGUCCGCGCUGGACCUUACUUAGUUGCUUUGGUUUGUAUACCGCCGUUUAUUGAUUAUCUUUUUAGAGUUUUAAUUUUCUAGUUUCUUCAUUUUGAUUUAUUUCAGGUCAAGGUGCAGCUUGUUUCUAAGUGGGAUGGUGGAUUACAUUGGUAUUUGUUUAUUGGAUUAUUGAUUUUAAUAUUGGUAUGAAAUUGGAUUUGGUUGUAAUGUUUUGUAGAUUGUUUUCGUGAUAAUUGGUUCUGGGAUAUGUACACAUCGCCCGUCGCUCUCGUUUUUUGUUAAUGAGAUAAGUCGUAACAAAGUGGUUGUACCGGAAGGUGCAGCUGGAUUGAU